UACAUGUGGGGCAAGCGUUGUUCGGAAUUACUGGGCGUAAAGGGUGCGUAGGUGGUUUGUUAAGUCUGCUGUGAAAUCCCCGGGCUCAACCUGGGAAUGGCAGUGGAUACUGGCAAGCUAGAGUGCGGUAGAGGGUAGUGGAAUUCCCGGUGUAGCAGUGAAAUGCGUAGAGAUCGGGAGGAACACCAGUGGCGAAGGCGGCUACCUGGACCAGCACUGACACUGAAGCACGAAAGCUAGGGGAGCAAACAGG
rnacentral:rRNA from 1 species